rnacentral:rRNA from 1 species
UAUGGAGAGUUUGAUUCUGGCUCAGGACGAACGCUGGCGGCGUGCUUAACACAUGCAAGUCGAGCGAUGAAACACCUUCGGGUGCGGAUUAGCGGCGAACGGGUGAGGAACACGUGAGGAAUCUGCCUUCCACUCUGGGAUAACUCCGGGAAACCGGGGCUAAUACCGGAUACUUUCAACUGGCGGCAUCGCCGGUUGAAGAAAGUUUUUCGGUGGAAGAUGACCUCGCGGCCUAUCAGCUUGUUGGUGAGGUAAAGGCUCACCAAGGCGACGACGGGUAGCCGGCCUGAGAGGGCGACCGGCCACACUGGGACUGAGACACGGCCCAGACUCCUACGGGAGGCAGCAGUAGGGAAUAUUGGGCAAUGGGCGCAAGCCUGACCCAGCGACGCCGCGUGAGGGAUGAAGGUCUUCGGAUUGUAAACCUCUUUCAGUAGGGAAGAAGCGAAAGUGACGGUACCUAAAGAAGAAGCACCGGCUAACUAUGUGCCAGCAGCCGCGGUAAUACAUAGGGUGCAAGCGUUGUCCGGAAUUAUUGGGCGUA